AAGCAAAGCCGCGAGGUAGAGCAAAUCUCAAAAAAACAAUCUCAGUUCAGACUGCAGGCUGCAACUCGCCUGCACGAAGUCGGAAUUGCUAGUAAUCGUAGGUCAGCAUACUACGGUGAAUACGUUCCCGGGCCUUGUACACACCGCCCGUCAAACCAUGAGAGUUGGCAACACCCGAAGUCGGUAGUCUAACCGCAAGGAGGACGCCGCCGAAGGUGGGGUUGAUGACUGGGGUGAAGUCGUAACAAGGUAUC
rnacentral:rRNA from 1 species